rnacentral:rRNA from 1 species
UAGCUGAAUACAUAGGCUAACGAGGCGAACCGGGGGAACUGAAACAUCUAAGUACCCCGAGGAAAAGAAAUCAACCGAGAUUCCCCCAGUAGCGGCGAGCGAACGGGGAACAGCCCAGAGCCUGAAUCAGCUUGUGUGUCAGUG